rnacentral:rRNA from 1 species
AGAGUUUGAUCCUGGCUCAGGAUGAACGCUGGCGGCGUGCCUAAUACAUGCAAGUCGAACGCUUUGUGCUGAAUUGAUAUGACGAGCUUGCUCUGAUUUGAUUUUUUGAUUUCAAAGAGUGGCGAACGGGUGAGUAGCACGUGGGUAACCUACCUCUUAGCAGGGGAUAACAUUUGGAAACAAGUGCUAAUACCGUAUAAUACCAACAACCGCAUGGUUGUUGGUUGAAAGAUGGUUCUGCUAUCACUAAGAGAUGGACCCGCGGUGCAUUAGCUAGUUGGUAAGGUAAUGGCUUACCAAGGCAAUGAUGCAUAGCCGAGUUGAGAGACUGAUCGGCCACAAUGGGACUGAGACACGGCCCAUACUCCUACGGGAGGCAGCAGUAGGGAAUCUUCCACAAUGGGCGCAAGCCUGAUGGAGCAACGCCGCGUGUGUGAUGAAGGGUUUCGGCUCGUAAACACUGUUAUAAGAGAAGAACGGCACUGAGAGUAACUGUUCAGUGUGUGACGGUAUCUUACCAGAAAGGAACGGCUAAAUACGUGCCAGCAGCCGCGGUAAUACGUAUGUUCCAAGCGUUAUCCGGAUUUAUUGGGCGUAAAGCGAGCGCAGACGGUUAUUUAAGUCUGAAGUGAAAGCCCUCAGCUCAACUGAGGAAUUGCUUUGGAAACUGGAUGACUUGAGUGCAGUAGAGGAAAGUGGAACUCCAUGUGUAGCGGUGAAAUGCGUAGAUAUAUGGAAGAACACCAGUGGCGAAGGCGGCUUUCUGGACUGUAACUGACGUUGAGGCUCGAAAGUGUGGGUAGCAAACAGGAUUAGAUACCCUGGUAGUCCACACCGUAAACGAUGAGUGCUAGAUGUUCGAGGGUUUCCGCCCUUGAGUGUCGCAGCU